rnacentral:rRNA from 1 species
AGGAUGAACGCUGGCGGCGUGCCUAAGACAUGCAAGUCGAGUGGGUUUAGGCCCACGGCGAACGGGUGAGUAAUACCUAGGAACUUUCUUUAAGUGGAGCAUAACCCAUAGAAAUGUGGGAUAAUACUUCAUGUGGCAGUAAUGCUAAAGUCGCAAGACGCUUAAAGUGAGGCCUGGGCACCAUCAGCUAGUUGGUAAGGUAAUGGCUUACCAAGGCUAUGACGGUUAGGGGCCCCGAGAGGGGAAACCCCCACACUGGAACUGCGACACGGUCCAGACUCCUACGGGAGGCAGCAGUUUGGAAUUUUGGACAAUGGGCGCAAGCCUGAUCCAGCCAUGCCGCGUGGAUGAUGAAGGCCUUAGGGUUGUAAAGUCCUUUUAACGGGGAAGAUAAUGACGGUACCCGUAGAAUAAGCCCCGGCUAACUUCGUGCCAGCAGCCGC